UACCGGAAGUCUUUUUGCAAGAGUUCCGGUGCGAGGGGUGUGAAAGUGUAAUUUUUGCAAUUUUCAACUGAAUGGUAAAAAUGAAAUGGUAAAUUGGUUAAAACCAAUUAAGGGUAAAAUGGGAAUUUUUAAAUUUUUGUAGGGGUAUGGAGUUAAUUGUAGGGGUACAAGUUAAAAUUUUCCCAAAGACCCUCAACCGGAUCCACCAAAAGACCCUCAAGAACGGGUUCAGUGUAAAUCAAACCCCAUUCUCCAUGUUCGAUAACUUGUGGCCUCAACAGUACGCCCAACAUUUCGCGAAUGGAUCCGGCCGCGGCGCAACGAAAUCGGCGCGUUUCAACGUCCCCGAAUCAGCUUCCGAGUGAGUCAUCAGUUCGAAAUUCCACUCGUUCAUCCUCAUGCGUGCACGGAUUAAAGUAAACAGAAUCGAUGCGAAGCGAAUGAAACUUACCGCUAUGAAGUUUUGACGCGAAGAUUCCGUUCUAAUCUUCUUCCUUGGUCAUGCUCCAUUAUUGUUGUUCGUCGGUUCCGUCACGUUGUUGAAUCAUUAUGGUGUGCGGCGAACACGGUGAUGAUGACAUUGAUGCAUUGCGAUUGGUGAAGAGCUUCGAGAAAUCCCUGGUAUGCCCUCCUCAAAUCUCUUCUUCGGUUUCACUCUAUGCUACAGUCUUCUUCUGAGCUUUUCUGUGAGUAUAGCGAGUUAUGAGCUGCGAAAAUGAGAGCCAAAAUUAUGUUGUUUAAGGAUUGAAUUGAGUUGCAGCAAUGUCCUCUGAGUUUGAAUUGAAGGAUUAAUUCAAAAGAGAAAAUGGACUCCCUCUUCAAUUUUUGUUUCUAUUCGUUUUCUCUUUUCUUUCUCGGUUGAGAAAUUUUGGAUUUCGGUUUCGAGAUUGAUUGAAAAGGUUCGGGUUUGUUUUCUAUGGAGUUGUGGAGUGAUUUUUGGUUAUGAAGAUCGAUCCCUGUGGAUCAAGGCCCUCCUCUGCUAUGUAUGGAUAAGUUAGUUAUACAGAGGAGUUGAAAGUUGUUAGAGUUUAGAGAUUUUCAGUCAGAAGUUUGUUAUGAGGUUAACUAAUCGUUAGUUCUAUUACAAACCGUUUUGUGGAAGUGUGCUUUUUUGCAGUUUUUUUUGGUCUUGUUAGAGAAAAAAGGAAGGGUGGUUAUUGGAGUUAAUGGUGAAGUUUGGUUAGAAGGUUGUUGGAGGUUACAAGGUUGGAGACUUUUCUAUUUGAGGUGUGAAAGUUCUUGAAGUGAAGUUCGUUGUGGAAGGUUGCAACGACAACUUUUGAUUUGUUGUUCUUGGCUGGAUUUGGAUAGAUUAUUAUUUGGUAUUUGCGUUGUCGGCAGUGUGCUGAAGUUGGUUUUGGUGCUGCAGCUUUGGUUUGCAGCAUGCGCUUCAAUUACGUUAUGCAGUUAAGCUAUAUUUUUGCUGCGACUUUGAUGUUGCUGCGGUUGGUUUCUUAAUACUAUAUCACCCUCCACCACACUGUUCACCAAUACCUAGCAGGUCGAAGUCCAUUCCGACCAAGGCUUGCACCAACAGUUUUUUUCAUGACUGAAUAAAAGCAAGACGGGUCCAUCCCAAGCUUCCAUCUGGCCCUUGUAGUAGUUGCAGCAGUCAAUUGCCUCAUGGAAUUUAUUUGUAUUGACAUUUGAAAAUGAAUGUAUGGUUUAUGGUUUGGAUUUAAAAUUGGCUAUUGGUUUUAAAAAUGUGUGAUGGAUUAAUUUGGAUAUUUGAAGUGGACAUGGACUUAAUGAA